rnacentral:rRNA from 1 species
UACAGAGGCCCCGAGCGUUAGUCGGAAUUACUGGGCUUAAAGGGUGCGUAGGCGGACUUCUAAGUGUCGCGUGAAAUCCCUCGGCUUAACCGGGGAACUGCAUCUGAUACUGGAUGGCUUGAGUUCGGGAGAGGGAUGCGGAAUUCCAGGUGUAGCGGUGAAAUGCGUAGAUAUCUGGAGGAACACCGGUGGCGAAGGCGGCAUCCUGGACCGACACUGACGCUGAGGAGCGAAAGCCAGGGGAGCAAACGGG